UUUUCCUUAGAACGCAACACAAAUUUACACAAAAUCUUAGCCUAGAGUGUAGAGACUUAGAGUAGUUUCAGAGGAAAACAUGAAAAGUGACAUAGUAGCAAUUUUAAUGAUGUUCAUGUUAGGUUUUGUGCAAAUUCUAAGUAUUGAGGCAAAACUGCCUUGUGCUGCACAAUGUGCUUUAGAUUGUUUAGGUUCAGAACACCCUUAUCCUGUUUGUUUAGCUAAAUGUCUUGAAAAAUGCGAUAAAGUGUCUACCACUCACUACAAUUGUAUUACAAAGUGUGGCGUGAGCAAGACCCUCACUGUUACUAUUGAUGGUCGUGGUGAUGUGACUGACGUCGUUGAUUCUUGCUUGCGAAACUGUCCCAACUUGGAAGAGUAAUUAAUUCUUCACUCUAACAAGAUUCGAGAGCAAAAUUAGACAUGUUACUUAUACAUGUUUGUAAUAAAAUCAUGGAAAAAUGAAUUUUAUAAUAAUUUCUGCUAUAAUUCCUUUUUA